rfam:Schistosoma curassoni strain Dakar, Senegal genome assembly, scaffold: SCTD_scaffold0000051
AUCCAGCUGACGAGUCUCAAAUGGGAUGAAACGCUCGUCCUGCAU